rnacentral:rRNA from 1 species
AACGAACGCUGGCGGCAUGCCUAACACAUGCAAGUCGAACGAGAUCUUCGGGUCUAGUGGCGCACGGGUGCGUAACGCGUGGGAAUCUGCCCUUUGGUUCGGAAUAACAGUUGGAAACGACUGCUACUACCGGAUGAUGACGAAAGUCCAAAGAUUUAUCGCCAGAGGAUGAGCCCGCGUAGGAUUAGCUAGUUGGUGUGGUAAAGGCGCACCAAGGCGACGAUCCUUAGCUGGUCUGAGAGGAUGAUCAGCCACACUGGGACUGAGACACGGCCCAGACUCCUACGGGAGGCAGCAGUGGGGAAUAUUGGACAAUGGGCGAAAGCCUGAUCCAGCAAUGCCGCGUGAGUGAUGAAGGCCUUAGGGUUGUAAAGCUCUUUUGCCCGGGAUGAUAAUGACAGUACCGGGAGAAUAAGCUCCGGCCAACUCCGUGCCAGCAGCCGCCGUAA